UUCGGUGAUGACGCUGGGAACGCGAGCGGCGGAUGGGUGAGUAACACGUGGGUAACCUGCCCUAAAGUCUGGGAUACCACUUGGAAACAGGUGCUAAUACCGGAUAACAACAAUAGCUGCAUGGCUAUUGCUUAAAAGGCGGCGAAAGCUGUCGCUAAAGGAUGGACCCGCGGUGCAUUAGCUAGUUGGUAAGGUAAUGGCUUACCAAGGCGACGAUGCAUAGCCGAGUUGAGAGACUGAUCGGCCACAUUGGGACUGAGACACGGCCCAAACUCCUACGGGAGGCAGCAGUAGGGAAUCUUCCACAAUGGGCGAAAGCCUGAUGGAGCAACGCCGCGUGAGUGAAGAAGGUUUUCGGAUCGUAAAGCUCUGUUGUUGGUGAAGAAGGAUAGAGGUAGUAACUGGCCCCUAUUUGACGGUAAUCAACCAGAAAGUCACGGCUAACUACGUGCCAGCAGCCGCGGUAAUACGUAGGUGGCAAGCGUUGUCCGGAUUUAUUGGGCGUAAAGCGAGCGCAGGCGGAAAGAUAAGUCUGAUGUGAAAGCCCCCGGCUUAACCGAGGAAUUGCAUCGGAAACUGUGUUUCUUGAGUGCAGAAGAGGAGAGUGGAACUCCAUGUGUAGCGGUGGAAUGCGUAGAUAUAUGGAAGAACACCAGUGGCGAAGGCGGCUCUCUGGUCUGUAACUGACGCUGAGGCUCGAAAGCAUGGGUAGCGAACAGGAUUAGAUACCCUGGUAGUCCAUGCCGUAAACGAUGAGUGCUAAGUGUUG
rnacentral:rRNA from 1 species